CUGUGGAAGAGCGGCCGCACGACUCGCUGUGUGCGCGUGUGUAUUCGUAUGCGCGCGUGUGGAUCUGGUCGGGCCGCGGGAUUUAAUUGUGUGGGUGAUUCUAUGGAGUAUCUGCAGUUGAUGGAUUUAUGGCGUCGAGAAUCACGUUGCUGUGUUGUCUGCUAACGGUAGCGUCGUCGAGUUCCUGCGACAAAGGUGAGCCCUCUAUUUUUGUACGGCACGGCCGCACGGAGCCGCACUGGACUAGGUCUGGACUUCGCUGAACACGUCCAAGGCAUAUGUAUUGUCGUAUACGUAAGCGUGACUGAGCCCCCCCUCUGCCUUCAGGCUGUCGCUGGUCCGUUGGUUGAUCUAUGUAGACUGCUAUAAACUGGUCACUCA